rnacentral:lncRNA from 1 species
GCGGCUGCAUGGCUUCCAUGGCAGAGUACUGCAGCUCACCGGGACGGUCCGCCUCCACGGCGUGACCGACCUCCCCUACCAAGAGCAGGCUGACGUCCCCACCUAUGCGAUGGAAGUCGUCGUCGAAGACGAGGCUGCGGGCGUGAGCACAGCGACACCGGCAGAGGAUCCACCGCGCGGCGCGGCGCCUGCCGAAAGGGUGGCCGCUGCACCUGUGUUGCAGCACCCUGUUCGGCCACCACGUCGACAGCGACCGCGACGGGUGGAUACCCUGACUACGAUGUCGUCGCAGUGCGCCCGCAGCCUGGAACAGGGCGACGAGGUGCUGCAGGUU